ACCUCAUAGACUCAGAAAUAAAUUGAGUCAGCACUAGGUUAUGUUAGACUAAUUUGUUCUUACUUAUCUAAGUAUAUCAAAACCGAAAAAAUUGAUUACUCACUAACCUAAUGGAACUUCCUUCCCUCUUUUUCAGGUCUUCAAGAGUGGAACCAUGCUACAGACCACCAAAAGUUACUUGCGCCAAUAUAUUAAUUACUAUAAUUUGGAAUAUUUGCUACCUUAGAAUGGUGGAUGAAUGGGCCGAUCAUUUAGAACAUGGAAAUGGUGACGAGAAUAAGGAGGAGCAGUACGAUCAACGUGGACCGGUGUCUCAUAAGUUCGGAUUAGAGAUCACCCAUAUGACAACUAAUUUCAAUCUUAUCAAUGUCUUCUGA
rnacentral:lncRNA from 1 species